CUGCUCAGUAACACGUGGACAAUCUGCCCUAUCGUGGUGAAUAAUCUCGGGAAACUGAGGGUAAUACACCAUAGGCCUCCGGCACUGGAAUGUCUGGAGACCCAAAGCUCCGGCGCGAUAGGAUGAGUCUGCGGAUGAUUAGCUAGUAGGCGGUGUAAUGGACCACCUAGGCUAUAAUCAUUAAGGGUCUUGAGAGAGAUAGCCCUGAGACGGAAUCUGAGACACUAUCCCGAGCCUUACGGGGUGCAGCAGGCGCGAAAACUUUGCAAUACACGAAAGUGUGACAAGGGGAUUCCAAGUGUGCAUAUACCAUAUGCACUUUUUCGAAGUUUAAAACGCUUUGGGAAUAAGGGGUGGGCAAGACUAGUGCCAGCCGCCGCGGUAAAACUAGCAUCUCGAGUGGCAGCCACAAUUACUGGGCUUAAAGCGUCCGUAGCUCGUUCAGAAAGUCCCCGGUGAAAUCCUAUGGCUUAACCAUAGGGCUUGCCAGGGAAACUCCUGGACUUGAAGGCAGGAGAGGUCAGGGGUACGUCCGGGGUAGGGGUGAAAUCCUAUAAUCCUAGACGGACCAACAGUGGCGAAGGCGCCUGACAUGAAUGCGCUUGACAGUGAGGGACGAGAGCCAGGGUCGCGAAACGGAUUAGAUACCCGUGUAGUCCUGGCCGUAAACGAUGUUGACUAAGGUGGGGCGUGACCUUAGCGGUCAUGCUAU
rnacentral:rRNA from 1 species